GACGAACGCUGGCGGUGUGCUUAACACAUGCAAGUCGAACGGUAAGGCCCUUUCGGGGGUACACGAGUGGCGAACGGGUGAGUAACACGUGAGUAACCUGCCCUCAUCUCUGGGAUAACAGUCGGAAACGGUUGCUAAUACUGGAUAUGAGCUUGCAAGGCAUCUUGUGGGUUGGAAAGAUUUUUUUGGUUGGGGAUGGACUCGCGGCCUAUCAGCUUGUUGGUGAGGUAGUGGCUCACCAAGGCUUCGACGGGUAGCCGGCCUGUGAGGGCGACCGGCCACAUUGGGACUGAGAUACGGCCCAAACUCCUACGGGAGGCAGCAGUGGGGAAUAUUGCACAAUGGACGGAAGUCUGAUGCAGCAACGCCGCGGGCGGGAUGACGGCCUUCGGGUUGUAAACCGCUUUCAAUUGUGACGAAGCUUUUUGUGACGGUAGCAGUAGAAGAAGCACCGGCUAACUACGUG
rnacentral:rRNA from 1 species